GAGGGAGCCUGAGAAACGGCUACCACAUCUAAGGAAGGCAGCAGGCGCGCAAAUUACCCAAUCCUAAUACAGGGAGGUAGUGACAAGAAAUAACAAUACAGGACUUUUUGGUUUUGUAAUUGGAAUGAGUUAAGUAUAAACCCCUUUACAAGUAUCAAUUGGAGGGCAAGUCUGGUGCCAGCAGCCGCGGUAAUUCCAGCUCCAAUAGCGUAUAUUAAAGUUGUUGCAGUUAAAAAGCUCGUAGUUGGAUUUCUGUUAAUAAUUUAUAUAAAAUAUUUUGAUGAAUAUUUAUAUAAUAUUAACAUAAUUCAUAUUACUAUAUAUUUUAGUAUAUGAAAUUUUACUUUGAGAAAAUUAGAGUGCUUAAAGCAGGCAUAUGCCUUGAAUACUCCAGCAUGGAAUAAUAUUAAAGAUUUUUAUCUUUCUUAUUGGUUCUAAGAUAAGAAUAAUGAUUAAUAGGGACAGUUGGGGGCAU
rnacentral:rRNA from 1 species